rnacentral:lncRNA from 1 species
UUUAUUCAAAACUCAAUUACCACAUCAUAAACCUACAAGGGUUCUCAAUUUUGAUAUUAAAUUUCUUUUAUCGUAUUUGAAAAGCAGCUGUGAACAACAUAAAUCAAGAGCAACUACCGUAAAAAUAAAAUCAAACAGCCAUAUACACACACGCAGCUUCAAUGCUGUGAAUGGUUUGCGAAACCAUUGAAGCUUCUUUAUUGAUGGCGAAUUCAAAACCUUCAGUGGUGUGAUUAACUUCUCCAUGUCUUCCUUCUUUAUCUUCAUUCUUGGCGCUGUUCAACCAGGGAAAUUCCAGAUCCCAUUUCGAAAAGGAUGGGUUUUCGAAUAGGAAAG